rnacentral:lncRNA from 1 species
AAAAGAGAAGAAAAACAAAAGAGAAAAAUGCACUUGCCGAGACCAAAGACUCUAACAGAUAUAAAAUGCUCGAAAAAUUUGAGUAGAAAAAGAGUCAAAAGAGUGAAAUUAACCCCCAGAGUAUACGUGAUGCACGAGAAAAAAAAAGAGAAAGAAAAAUCACACAACAUGACUACCGAGUUCAAAACCCUUUGUUAUCCAAUUUUUUUGUUUAUCCCACCGUACCCAAG